rnacentral:rRNA from 1 species
GACGAACGCUGGCGGCGUGCUUAACACAUGCGAGUCGAACGGAAAGGCCCUGCUUUUGUGGGGUGCUCGAGUGGCGAACGGGUGAGUAACACGUGAGUAACCUGCCCUUGACUUCGGGAUAACUUCAGGAAACUGGGGCUAAUACCGGAUAGGAGCUCCUGCUGCAUGGUGGGGGUUGGAAAGUUUCGGCGGUUGGGGAUGGACUCGCGGCUUAUCAGCUUGUUGGUGGGGUAGUGGCUUACCAAGGCUUUGACGGGUAGCCGGCCUGAGAGGGUGACCGGCCACAUUGGUCCUGAGGUACGGCCCAGACUCCUACGGGAGGCAGCAGUGGGGAAUCUUGCACAAUGGGCGGAAGCCUGAUGCAGCAACGCCGCGUGCGGGAUGACGGCCUUCGGGUUGUAAACCGCUUUCGCCUGUGACGAAGCGUGAGUGACGGUAAUGGGUAAAGAAGCACCGGCUAACUACGUG